rnacentral:rRNA from 1 species
UACGUAGGGUGCAGGCGUUAAUCGGAAUUACUGGGCGUAAAGCGUGCGCAGGCGGCUCCUUAAGUCAGAUGUGAAAGCCCCGGGCUUAACCUGGGAACUGCGUUUGAAACUGGGGAGUUAGAGUGUAGAAGAGGGGGGUGGAAUUCCAGGUGUAGCAGUGAAAUGCGUAGAGAUCUGGAGGAACACCGAUGGCGAAGGCAGCCCCCUGGGCUAACACUGACGCUCAUGCACGAAAGCGUGGGGAGCAAACAGG